UACGUAGGGUGCAAGCGUUAAUCGGAAUUACUGGGCGUAAAGCGUGCGCAGGCGGUGAUGUAAGACAGGUGUGAAAUCCCCGGGCUUAACCUGGGAACUGCGUUUGAAACUGGAAGGCUAGAGUGUGGCAGAGGGGGGUGGAAUUCCACGUGUAGCAGUGAAAUGCGUAGAGAUGUGGAGGAACACCGAUGGCGAAGGCAGCCCCCUGGGCUAACACUGACGCUCAUGCACGAAAGCGUGGGGAGCAAACAGG
rnacentral:rRNA from 1 species